AGUCCGCAUUGCGGUUCGCUUAAUCUGUGCAUUGUGGACACAAAGCGCUCCAGGUUCGCUUUGCCCUUUGCGAUUGUAUUUUAGCCCCCUAGAGUUGCCGUAGACAGAUCACACACGCCUGCGCACUGUAACGCUUGGAAAAACAACACAGAACCAUGGCCGCUAGUGGACGAGGAGUAGUUUGGUACCGAAGAGGAAACCACUGCACUUCUCCAGAUAUGGAACGAAGAACACAUCAAAUGGCAACGCGAGGGGCUUCAUUAGGUCCGCACUGCAGUGCCGC